rnacentral:rRNA from 1 species
AUUGAACGCUGGCGGCAUGCUUUACACAUGCAAGUCGAACGGUAACAGGUUAAGCUGACGAGUGGCGAACGGGUGAGUAAUGCAUCGGAACGUGCCCGGUCGUGGGGGAUAACGCAGCGAAAGCUGCGCUAAUACCGCAUACGAUCUAAGGAUGAAAGCGGGGGACCGUAAGGCCUCGCGCGAUCGGAGCGGCCGAUGUCAGAUUAGGUAGUUGGUGGGGUAAAGGCUCACCAAGGCAACGAUCUGUAGCUGGUCUGAGAGGACGACCAGCCACACUGGGACUGAGACACGGCCCAGACUCCUACGGGAGGCAGCAGUGGGGAAUUUUGGACAAUGGGCGAAAGCCUGAUCCAGCAACGCCGCGUGCAGGAAGAAGGCCUUCGGGUUGUAAACUGCUUUUGUACGGAGCGAAAAGGUCUCCUCUAAUACAGGGGGCUCAUGACGGUACCGUAAGAAUAAGCACCGGCUAACUACGUGCCAGCAGCCGCCGUAA